GGGGCGGGGCGGGGCGUGAGCCGCGGCGAGGCGCGCAGUGAGGGCUCGGAGGUAUGGUCGGGGCCUUGGCGGCGCCCAGUCCUGGGAGCCGCGUGUCGCUGUGUGUUUUAGUGAUUGCCUUGGCCUCCCCUGCUCACCGCGUCUAUGAAGAAUAAGCCAGCCUCUGCCCUGGGGCUGAAACACGAACAAGUACUGUCUGGUGGUGAUAAAUGCUUUCUCAAAGUGGGUGGAGGCAUACCCAAUGAGGAACAACACAGCCAGUGCCAUAGCCAAGGUUUGGUCUACCUGAUGUAAUCGAGCAGACCUUUUCCAGGUGCCACAGAAAAAUGCUCUGCUGUAUUUGUUUAUGUCUAUGGCCCUGCAUUUUGGAAAUGCAGUGAUUGUUAACACUGGUGACCAUUUUAGUUGUGAAGCUAAUAACAGUUAUGUAAUCAAAGGAAUGUCUCUUCAUCUUAAGGGCACCAUAGCAAUAUACGCAUAUGAACUACUGAGCAAUUGUUACGUGGUCUGGGAAGACAAGUCUAGUGGAAGGACUAUGACUGCCUUCACGGUAGACAACUGAGAGUCAAAUGUAACCCUAUAAGAUGUUAAUGGGGAUACGCUUGCAUCUGCGUAUAGAUUGGAUGUUGGAUGCAAGUGAGUAAUUAGUGAUACCUUUCUCACUGGUUGCACUCUGCAAGUGGCAGCAGACAAUGCUUCCCUUUGUUCAUAUGUGAAAACAAAUGUGAAUAGUUGGAUGAAAGUUGGGGUACACACUACUGAUAUUAUAAGCAAUGUCCAAUAUCAAAUAAGAGAUGUAGAGAUUAAUUUGUAUACCCCUGUUCAAAUGUUUACUAGACACAUGCAAUGUAUCAACUUCACAAACGUUAGAUACUUUGGUUCUCAGAAUAAGAACAAGUUUUGUGACUAUGGAAAUGUUACAUUCAGUGUUAGGUGCACAGGUAGCAUCGAUGUAGACGUAAAUGUAAACGAUACAGGUAAAUGGGUUUUCACGGGCCUGUAUGGUGUCAGGAAGGUCAAAAAAGUUAUUGUUGUUCCUAGACCAUAUAAAAGUUAUAUCGGGCCUAUGGUGGUUAAGAGGGAUGUAAAAAGACUACUGCUGAUCAAUUCUCUUUACUCCCUGAAAAAAAAUUAUAAUGCCACUUCAGUUAGAUAUCUCUGCAGUACAGUAUAGGUGUGUACCGUAUGUAAUGCCAUUCCUGGUGGGAUGGUGCUCCUGGCUGGAAAGCGUCACGAUGAGGAACUCUAGACUGAGCAAAAGAGACAUCCUAGUUAUGAUCCUAGGAGGGGUGGGCACUGCCCUAGGUGUUCUUAACACUAUAGAUAAGGAAAUCUUGGCUAGCAAGAGAGGGGCUCUAGGCACAGAUAUAGCUUCCCUAUCACAUCCACUGACAGCAUCCCUACAUCAAUUAAGUGUGAUGCAAUAUAGAAUUGCUAGUGUCAUGCCAGGAUGGUUAAGGCUCCAGAAGCAGGAUACUGCAAUCUGCCUGGAUACUGCUGGCAAAUCUGCCCAGUAACCGGAAAAAGUGGGAAAGGACGUGAUCAGUGUGAAAAUCUAUAUAAGGCCUUGACACAGAGAGACUGGUUGCUGUCCAUCCUAGUGGCAGCCUGUGUCUAAGUCUCAUUGGGGGGAAAGCAAGGCUAGCUUGUUAGUACUAUAGGACUUGGGGAAAGCAGGGGUAGCUCUGGUAGUACUGAAGGAGGUCUGAGAAGGAGAAGACAGAAGACCUGUGUCACUUACCAUUGUUCCUGAUGUUCUUGUCGGAGCUGUUCUUGAGCUGUGGUUCCUGGGUUCCUGGCGACACUUCCUGUUGUCCACUCUUGUUUUGGGUUCAGGCUUCAUGCCUCUGUUGUGUUAAACCUAUUAAGUGGUUUAUUAAUAAAAUCCCUUUUCUAUUUAA